UUUGGCUUUUUACGCAGUGCUCGGUGUUUGCGCAAAUUCACCGUGUGCGUUUAGCAACGGGUUAAUGCAACUCGUUCGCUGCGAGCGACCUCAUGUGCGUCCCGUCUUCUCACGUCACGCGGAGCCAAGCGUCGAUGUGCACGCGCCGAAGCGGCUAACAGGAUUAUGACGACAACCACGCCACAAGCUGUUCAUCUUGUGCGGCCCACAGGACGGACGACCGAUGCGUGAACAUUCCGUCGGAUUUGAACGGUUCCUUCACCCGCUGAGCCUGGAGACCUGAAGGUCUGGACGAGCAGCCCAGGUAGGUUUAAACCACGACCAACACUCACACUUCACUCUCUGUCCUUGUGAGGACCUCUCUUGACCCAGCCUCUCCCCCUCAACCUAACCAUCCAAAACACGGUUAUUUUGGGCUUGACUCUGUGAGAACCAGCCACACGGUCCUCACAACGCACACACAGUCCAAUUGAGAAGAUCCCAGAUCGGCACAAGACACUACCUACACCUCCAUACACUCCAAAGUGAACACCUCCACACACUUGAGGCACCUCAAGUGUCGCCACAGGACCCUCACCAAGUCACACAGAAAAGCAAAGCCCAACACUGUGUUGUAGUGGCAGCAGUUUGAUGACAUCAUCACUCACUUGGUGGCCAGCAGCAUGUUCUUGCGUGUGUGGAGCUCGUUGGGGUCCGUGUGCUGCCGGUUCAGGUACUCGCUCACGGCCUUGGUGGGAAACUCCGUUUCACAGAUGUAGCCGAAGUCCCGGGCCAGAUGGACGGCCUCCCCUGCAGGAGGAACAGAAGAGUUCAG